rfam:Actinospica robiniae DSM 44927 genomic scaffold ActroDRAFT_ARA.1, whole genome shotgun sequence.
AGCUCCACCGGGUCCACCGCCCGGGUGGUGAGCAGGUAGUCGCGGAUGGCGAUGCCGUGCCGGCCCUC